ACUUUUUCUUCAGAGAAGGCCAAUGAAUUAACAUGACAGACAGCAGACUUGUGCUCAGAGCCAGGUUUCUUAGCCCUCAGGUAUCACAUUCUUCAGUACACACAGGCCCUUCAGUGGUCAUGUAUUCACUGUUAGCUGCUUUGGGAUUGAUUAUCUAGUGAGAGGUGAUGUUAUCAUCUGUUAGAAAUUGCCACCUAUACUAACAGAACUCUCUUACCCACGCCAGCAGAUCUUGUUAUCUGGGAAGGCAUUUGACCUCUGGAGCAAACAAUAUGUUGUAUAGGAAUCUGAAAAUAAAAUAUCAUGCAAGAAGGUGACUAGGGAUGAGGCCUGGCCAGAAAGUGUGGGCUGUUGAAAGGAUUGGAAGAAUCACUCUGCAGGCAUUAAAAGACAAGAAGGAAUUGGAAGUUG
rnacentral:lncRNA from 1 species